ACUUAAAUAGCUUAAAUAAAAGAGCAUAACAUUGAAGGUGUUAAGGUAAUGAUAAAUAUUUUUAAGUG